rnacentral:lncRNA from 1 species
GAAGAGCGACACCUACUUGACUUGACAGCCAAUAAGAGAGAAGACUGUUCUACUCUCGAGAUAUACAACCGUAGAAUGUAACAUUAAGCGGACGCUGGUCGAAGUAUACUUUAGCUUUCACACUUCCGGUUCCUCGGAGUCCUCGCGUGCUGCAUAUUGUUGUAAACAGGAGACGUGUGUUCACUGCGGCUCUGUGUUUUUUUAUCACAAAAGUGUAAAGUGGAAAUUGUGAGAAAGGAUGAGAAGAAAAUGAUGCCCAGUAAAGUGCAGUUCGGUCAUCAGAAGUACAGGAACAAGGAGAAGACACAGAUGAAGAACAAUCUGAAAGUGUCACAAUCCAAAGUAUUGAGAGAUACAAACACAGUGAAUCUUCUUAGAUGCAACAGCAUGGAGCGUCUGGAACCAAACUUCUCUCAUGAUCCAGUCAGAGCUGUAAAGUCUCAUACUGAUGUACCAGAAGGUCCAGGAUGAGGUGAGUUCACUUUACUGGUAUUAUUAAUUACAUGAAUUCAUCAUUACAUUCAAGGAUGUAUUUUAGUGCUGGCUAACACUUGUUCAUGAAUAUUCUUGCUGCUUUAGAAAACAACAGGACCUUAAACUCCAGUAUCUGACAGGGGAUCAGUCACUAGAUUGUUGCAUAUUUUUGUGUAUGACAUGCACAAAGGUGCCACAGUCACCAAUCAAUCCAAAUGAUGAAUAAUUGGCACUGCAAAAUGAGAAUUACUUUUUCAUUUUUAUCUCUCUGUAUUUUUUUGUAUUUUCUGCACUUUAUUGCCUGCACUUUUAACUUUUUGUGUAUCUUAAGCUGAACGUUUGUUUUUAUUUUCUGAAAACCAAAGAAGUGUCUCUUGUAAAUUGUACAUAAUGUUUUUGUAAGAUGCUCUGGCUUAUAGCAUCUUGGAGUGAGAAUACAUGUAACACUUUCUUAUCAUUAGUUACUGGCAUUAUUUUUUUAUUAUUUGAAAUCUUAUUUAGGAUUAACUUUAUUAUUGUGAUUUAUUGUAAUGGAAGCAAAUACACACCAUGAAAAAUGAUGACGAUUCUGUGUCUUUCUUUAGCUGUUUUCACUUUUAAUAUCUACUGAUGCACAGAUAUUAUG